rnacentral:rRNA from 1 species
ACCUGAAACCGUGUACGUACAAGCAGUGGGAGCCUCUUAAUGGGGUGACUGCGUACCUUUUGUAUAAUGGGUCAGCGACUUAUAUUCUGUAGCAAGGUUAACCGAAUAGGGGAGCCGAAGGGAAACCGAGUCUUAACUGGGCGUUAAGUUGCAGGGUAUAGACCCGAAACCCGGUGAUCUAGCCAUGGGCAGGUUGAAGGUUGGGUAACACUAACUGGAGGACCGAACCGACUAAUGUUGAAAAAUUAGCGGAUGACUUGUGGCUGGGGGUGAAAGGCCAAUCAAACCGGGAGAUAGCUGGUUCUCCCCGAAAGCUAUUUAGGUAGCGCCUCGUGAAUUCAUCUCCGGGGGUAGAGCACUGUUUCGGCAAGGGGGUCAUCCCGACUUACCAACCCGAUGCAAACUGCGAAUACCGGAGAAUGUUAUCACGGGAGACACACGGCGGGUGCUAACGUCCGUCGUGAAGAGGGAAACAACCCAGACCGCCAGCUAAGGUCCCAAAGUCAUGGUUAAGUGGGAAACGAUGUGGGAAGGCCCAGACAGCCAGGAUGUUGGCUUAGAAGCAGCCAUCAUUUAAAGAAAGCGUAAUAGCUCACUGGUCGAGUCGGCCUGCGCGGAAGAUGUAACGGGGCUAAACCAUGCACCGAAGCUGCGGCAGCGACACUAUGUGUUGUUGGGUAGGGGAGCGUUCUGUAAGCCUGUGAAGGUGGCCUGUGAGGGUUGCUGGAGGUAUCAGAAGUGCGAAUGCUGACAUAAGUAACGAUAAAGCGGGUGAAAAGCCCGCUCGCCGGAAGACCAAGGGUUCCUGUCCAACGUUAAUCGGGGCAGGGUGAGUCGACCCCUAAGGCGAGGCCGAAAGGCGUAGUCGAUGGGAAACAGGUUAAUAUUCCUGUACUUGGUGUUACUGCGAAGGGGGGACGGAGAAGGCUAUGUUGGCCGGGCGACGGUUGUCCCGGUUUAAGCGUGUAGGCUGGUUUUCCAGGCAAAUCCGGAAAACCAAGGCUGAGGCGUGAUGACGAGGCACUACGGUGCUGAAGUGACAAAUGCCCUGCUUCCAGGAAAAGCCUCUAAGCAUCAGGUAACAUCAAAUCGUACCCCAAACCGACACAGGUGGUCAGGUAGAGAAUACCAAGGCGCUUGAGAGAACUCGGGUGAAGGAACUAGGCAAAAUGGUGCCGUAACUUCGGGAGAAGGCACGCUGAUAUGUAGGUGAAGCGACUUGCUCGUGGAGCUGAAAUCAGUCGAAGAUACCAGCUGGCUGCAACUGUUUAUUAAAAACACAGCACUGUGCAAACACGAAAGUGGACGUAUACGGUGUGACGCCUGCCCGGUGCCGGAAGGUUAAUUGAUGGGGUUAGCGGUAACGCGAAGCUCUUGAUCGAAGCCCCGGUAAACGGCGGCCGUAACUAUAACGGUCCUAAGGUAGCGAAAUUCCUUGUCGGGUAAGUUCCGACCUGCACGAAUGGCGUAAUGAUGGCCAGGCUGUCUCCACCCGAGACUCAGUGAAAUUGAACUCGCUGUGAAGAUGCAGUGUACCCGCGGCAAGACGGAAAGACCCCGUGAACCUUUACUAUAGCUUGACACUGAACAUUGAGCCUUGAUGUGUAGGAUAGGUGGGAGGCUUUGAAGUGUGGACGCCAGUCUGCAUGGAGCCGACCUUGAAAUACCACCCUUUAAUGUUUGAUGUUCUAACGUUGGCCCGUAAUCCGGGUUGCGGACAGUGUCUGGUGGGUAGUUUGACUGGGGCGGUCUCCUCCUAAAGAGUAACGGAGGAGCACGAAGGUUGGCUAAUCCUGGUCGGACAUCAGGAGGUUAGUGCAAUGGCAUAAGCCAGCUUGACUGCGAGCGUGACGGCGCGAGCAGGUGCGAAAGCAGGUCAUAGUGAUCCGGUGGUUCUGAAUGGAAGGGCCAUCGCUCAACGGAUAAAAGGUACUCCGGGGAUAACAGGCUGAUACCGCCCAAGAGUUCAUAUCGACGGCGGUGUUUGGCACCUCGAUGUCGGCUCAUCACAUCCUGGGGCUGAAGUAGGUCCCAAGGGUAUGGCUGUUCGCCAUUUAAAGUGGUACGCGAGCUGGGUUUAGAACGUCGUGAGACAGUUCGGUCCCUAUCUGCCGUGGGCGCUGGAGAACUGAGGGGGGCUGCUCCUAGUACGAGAGGACCGGAGUGGACGCAUCACUGGUGUUCGGGUUGUCAUGCCAAUGGCACUGCCCGGUAGCUAAAUGCGGAAGAGAUAAGUGCUGAAAGCAUCUAAGCACGAAACUUGCCCCGAGAUGAGUUCU